rnacentral:rRNA from 1 species
AAAGUCCGUAACAAGGUCUCCGUUGGUGAACCAGCGGAGGGAUCAUUACCGAGUGUAAAAACUCCCAAACCAUUGUGAACCUACCACUGUUGCUUCGGCGGCCUCGCCCCGGGCGCGUUCGCGCGGCCCGGACCCAGGCGUCCGCCGGAGGCUCCAAACUCUUGUCUUUUAGUGUAUUUCUGAGUGGCAUAAGCAAAUAAAUCAAAACUUUCAGCAACGGAUCUCUUGGUUCUGGCAUCGAUGAAGAACGCAGCAAAAUGCGAUAAGUAAUGUGAAUUGCAGAAUUCAGUGAAUCAUCGAAUCUUUGAACGCACAUUGCGCCCGCCAGUAUUCUGGCGGGCAUGCCUGUCUGAGCGUCAUUUCAACCCUCAGGACCCGUUCGCGGGACCUGGCGUUGGGGAUCAGCCUGCCCCUGGCGGCGGCUGGCCCUGAAAUCCAGUGGCGGUUCCCUCGCGAACUCCUCCGUGCAGUAAUUAAACCUCUCGCGGCAGGAUAGCGGUUGAACCACGCCGUUAAACCCCCCACUUCUCAAGGUUGACCUCAAAUCAGGUAGGAAUACCCGCUGAACUUAAGCAUAUCAAUAA